GGUAGCUCAAUGGUAGAGCACGCGGCUGUUAACCGCGCUGUUGUAGGUUCGAAUCCUACCC
rnacentral:tRNA from 1 species